rnacentral:rRNA from 2 species
GACGAACGCUGGCGGCGUGCCUAAUACAUGCAAGUCGAACGAACUCUGGUAUUGAUUGGUGCUUGCAUCAUGAUUUACAUUUGAGUGAGUGGCGAACUGGUGAGUAACACGUGGGAAACCUGCCCAGAAGCGGGGGAUAACACCUGGAAACAGAUGCUAAUACCGCAUAACAACUUGGACCGCAUGGUCCGAGUUUGAAAGAUGGCUUCGGCUAUCACUUUUGGAUGGUCCCGCGGCGUAUUAGCUAGAUGGUGAGGUAACGGCUCACCAUGGCAAUGAUACGUAGCCGACCUGAGAGGGUAAUCGGCCACAUUGGGACUGAGACACGGCCCAAACUCCUACGGGAGGCAGCAGUAGGGAAUCUUCCACAAUGGACGAAAGUCUGAUGGAGCAACGCCGCGUGAGUGAAGAAGGGUUUCGGCUCGUAAAACUCUGUUGUUAAAGAAGAAC